UACGUAGGGCGCAAGCGUUGUCCGGAAUUAUUGGGCGUAAAGAGCUCGUAGGCGGUUUGUCGCGUCUGCUGUGAAAACCUAAGGCUCAACCUUGGGCUUGCAGUGGGUACGGGCAGACUAGAGUGCGGUAGGGGUGACUGGAAUUCCUGGUGUAGCGGUGGAAUGCGCAGAUAUCAGGAGGAACACCGAUGGCGAAGGCAGGUCACUGGGCCGCAACUGACGCUGAGGAGCGGAAAAGCAUGGGGAGCGAACAGG
rnacentral:rRNA from 1 species